rnacentral:misc_RNA from 1 species
UCAAAAAAAUUCACAAAAAAAAAAGAAGUUUCAUUUCACCUAGUGUUUAUAUUACUACAUCAAACUAUGAUGUCAAGUGAGAAAAUAAGAGAAGUAGGAGAAGGAUCAUCAUCAAGUGGUGGUGCUAUUAGUAUUAUAGCAACCCCUCUUAACAAUCAUCAUCGUCAGUCAUCAUCAUCAUCGUUAUCAACACUAGCACCAACACCAGCAUCAUCAUCAGCACCGCAGUUAAGUCGAUACGAGUCGCAGAAACGUCGCGACUGGAACACGUUCGGCCAGUACUUAAAAAAUCAACGACCGCCUAUAUCGUUACCUCAGUGUAACUACAAUCACGUGUUAGAUUUUCUCCGAUACCUCGAUCAAUUCGGAAAGACUAAGGUUCACUUACAUGGUUGCCUAUUUUUCGGGCAACCCGAACCGCCUGGUCCGUGCACGUGUCCAUUAAGACAAGCAUGGGGAAGCCUAGAUGCCCUAAUUGGUAGACUUAGGGCAGCCUAUGAAGAAAAUGGUGGUUUGCAAGAAACUAACCCUUUUGCAAGUGGCGCUAUACGUGUCUAUUUAAGAGAAGUGAGAGAUUCACAAGCAAAAGCAAGAGGAAUUCCAUAUAAGAAAAAAAAGAAGAAAAAGAGGCCAAAUUUGCAAAUUAAGGCUAGUAACAACAAUGAUGGGGCUACUUCUGCAAAUUUUCAGCUACAAUCUACUACUUGAUUGCUAUGGAAUAAAGAUUGGAAUAUCAAUUUCAUCGAGAUCGACGAUAAAAGAGAAAGGGUAAAAUUUUGAGUUUUUAAUUAUAAUUAAUAAAAGUAUUUGUUUUGUUAUGUGUUAAUUAAUUAAUAUAGUACUUACUAUACAUAUAAUUAAAUACUUUUGAAUUAUGGUGUUUUAAUUUUUCUAUGAUGCUUGAAUUAUUGGAAUAUUGUUGUUGUAGAUAUUGCG